rnacentral:rRNA from 1 species
ACGUACACUCCUACGGGAGGCAGCAGUAGGGAAUCUUCCACAAUGGGUGCAAACCUGAUGGAGCAAUGCCGCGUGAGUGAAGAAGGUCUUCGGAUCGUAAAGCUCUGUUGUUAGAGAAGAACACGUGCUAGGUAACUACUAGCGCCUUGACGGUAUCUAACCAGAAAGUCACGGCUAACUACGUGCCAGCAGCCGCGGUAAUACGUAGGUGACAAGCGUUGUCCGGAUUUAUUGGGCGUAAAGGGAGCGCAGGCGGUCUGUUUAGUCUAAUGUGAAAGCCCACGGCUUAACCGUGGAACGGCAUUGGAAACUGACAGACUUGAAUGUAGAAGAGGGAAAUGGAAUUCCAAGUGUAGCGGUUGAAUGCGUAGAUAUUUGGAGGAACACCAGUGGCGAAGGCGAUUUUCUGGUCUAACAUUGACGCUGAGGCUCGAAAGCGUGGGGAGCGAACAGGAUUAGAAACCCUUGUAGUCCCAUGAU